GGUGGCGCAGCUACCAUGCAAGUCGGACGGUAGCACAGAGAACUUGGUCUUGGGUGACAAGAGUGGGACAGGGGAGUAAAGUGUGGGGAUCUGCGCCAUAUAGGGGGGUAUCCCCUGUGAACGGUGGGUAUUACCGCAUAUCGUCUCACGAGCAAAGAGGGGGACCUUCUGGCCUCUCUCUAUCGGAUAAGCCCCCAUGGGAUUUGCUAGUAGGCGGGGUGAUGGGCCCCCUCUGCGACAAUCCCUAUCUGGGCUGAGAGGAUGACCCCCCCCACUGGAACUGAGACACGGUCCACACUCCUCCGGGAGGCGGCACUGGGGAAUAUUGCGCAAUGGGCGCACGCCUGAUACACCCCUGCCCCGUGUGUGAAAAAAGCCUUCUGGUUGUGAAGAACUUUCUCCGGGGAGAAAAGCGGUGAGGUUAAUAUCCUCUCCCAUUGUCAUUUCCCCCGGAAAAAACACCCCCUAUCUCCGUGCCCCCGCCCGCGGUAAUACAGAGGGGGCGAGCGUUUAUCUGAAUUUCUGGGCGUAAAGCGCACACGCGGGGGCUGUUAAAUCACAUAUGAAAUCUCCCGGGUCUACCUGGGGACUGCGUUUGAAACUGUGGGGCUUGUGUCUCUCAGAGAGGGGUAUAAAUCUCGGUGUGUCGGUGAAAUGUGUAUAGAUCUGUAGAAAUAUAGGUGGGGAAAGCGGCCCCCUGUAGAAAAACAGACACUCUCGUGCGAAAACGCGGGGAGAACACAGGAUAGAUACACUGGGAGUCCCGCCGUAUACGAUAUCGACACGUAGGUGGUGCUCUUGAGGAGAGUCUUUCCAGAUAACACGCUAAAAUACACCUGUGGAGUACGGCGCACGGGUAACUCAAAGUAUUUA
rnacentral:rRNA from 1 species